rnacentral:piRNA from 1 species
GUCGCGGGUUCGAUCCCCGUACGGGCCAG